rnacentral:rRNA from 1 species
CCCUUAGAUGUUCUGGGCCGCACGCGCGCUACACUGACGAAUGCAACGAGCUUAUAACCUUGGCCGAAAGGUCUGGGUAAUCUCCAAAUUUCGUCGUGAUGGGGAUAGAUUAUUGCAAUUAUUAAUCUUCAACGAGGAAUGCCUAGUAAACGCAAGUCAUCAACUUGCAUUGAUUACGUCCCUGCCCUUUGUACACACCGCCCGCCGCACCUACCGAUUGAAUGGUCCGGUGAAGCCUCCGGAUUGGCGCGCACCUCGGUGCCGCCGAGAAGUUGGCUAAACCUUACCAUUUAGAGGAAGGUGAANUCGUANCA